AUUGAACGCUGGCGGGAUGCCUUACACAUGCAAGUCGAACGAGUGGCGGACGGGUGAGUAAUAUAUGGGGACCUGCCCAGUAGAGGGGGAUAACUACUGGAAACGGUGGCUAAUACCGCAUACUAUCGGAUGAACCGAUAUGGGAUUAGCUAGUAGGUGGGGUAAAGGCUCACCAAGGCGACGAUCCCUAGCUGGUGUGAGAGGAUGAUCAGCCAUACUGGGACUGAGACACGGCCCAGACUCCUACGGGAGGCAGCAGUGGGGAAUAUUGCACAAUGGGCGCAAUCCUGAUCCAGCCAUGCCGCGUGUAUGAAGAAGGCCUUAGGGUUGUAAAGUACUUUCAGCAGGGAGGCGUUAUCUGCAGAAGAAGCACCGGCUAACUCCGUGCCAGCAGCCGCGGUAAUAC
rnacentral:rRNA from 1 species